AUGAACGCUGACAGAAUGCUUAACACAUGCAAGUAUACUUGAAAUUGGGAUUUUUAACUUAGGUUUGGGUGGCGGACGGGUGAGUAACGCGUAAAGAACUUGCCUCACAGCUAGGGACAACAUUUAGAAAUGAAUGCUAAUACCUAAUAUUAUGAUAAAUAGGGCAUCCUAUAAUUAUGAAAGCUAUAUGCGCUGUGAGAGAGCUUUGCGUCCCAUUAGCUAGUUGGAGAGGUAACGGCUCACCAAGGCGAUGAUGGGUAGCCGGCCUGAGAGGGUGAUCGGCCACAAGGGGACUGAGACACGGCCCUUACUCCUACGGGAGGCAGCAGUGGGGAAUAUUGGACAAUGGACCGAGAGUCUGAUCCAGCAAUUCUGUGUGCACGAUGAAGUUUUUCGGAAUGUAAAGUGCUUUCAGUUGGGAAGAAAGAAAUGACGGUACCAACAGAAGAAGUGACGGCUAAAUACGUGCCAGCAGCCGCGGUAAUACGUAUGUCACGAGCGUUAUCCGGAUUUAUUGGGCGUAAAGCGCGUCUAGGUGGUUAUAUAAGUCUGAUGUGAAAAUGCAGGGCUCAACUCUGUAUUGCGUUGGAAACUGUAUAACUAGAGUACUGGAGAGGUAAGCGGAACUACAAGUGUAGAGGUGAAAUUCGUAGAUAUUUGUAGGAAUGCCGAUGGGGAAGCCAGCUUACUGGACAGAUACUGACGCUGAAGCGCGAAAGCGUGGGUAGCAAACAGG
rnacentral:rRNA from 1 species